UUGGCAACGUAAACUCUUCUUCCACAAAUAAACGGUCAGCGAAUAUUGAAAUUUCAAAAUUCAUUUCGAAUUCGCGUGGAGAAGCGAUUUUGUUCUUUGAUCUUCUUCUGGUUCUUUUCUCCGAUCAAUUGAAUUUCAUGUUCAGUGGCGUCUGAUUCGUUGGGUUAGUUCAAAUCGGGAAUCCAAGGGUUUCGAUUUUGGGUCGUCGGUGAUAAUCUAACGAUGGAUACGCGGAUUGGAUUCGGAUCGUGUGAUAGUAUUACCAAAUCGAAGAAGGUGAAAUUUUGGCUCAGUAGUAAGUGCUAAUAAGGGGGUCAUGUUUCUUGCCUCAUGCUGAUAUCUUUAAGAGCAUAUGACAGGUCAGAUAUCUCUCACUCUGUUCUCAUGUUUAUUGUGUCAGCUCGACAGGUUAUUUGCAUUUGAAAAGCUGAGUCUUGGCUUGUUUGGGUUACUCACACUAUCUGAAAACACACGUUAUCAAGAAACAGACACGGAAAUCACUCAAACAAAAUGCACUCAAACUCAAAACACACCCAAAGACUACAACACUCAAGCAUAAACAUAAACACACAAAACUCAAACACUACCAAAAACAAAUCACAUCUCACGCAACAAACCUCCAAACACACUCAAAGGUAACAAAACUCAAACAGAACAUAACAAAAGAAAUCAAAUACAGCACAACACAAAACUAGACACAAGAAAACAAAAAAAAACUAUAACGUCACGAUUAUAUUCUUCUUUUUUUAUUGGUAAGAAUUUUGAGAUUCUGUUGCCAAGUCAAUUUCAGGUAAGUAUCUUUAUCUUCCUAUUUUUCUUCCUUUUCUUUGUCUCUUACAACUUACAGCUAUUAAUCUUUUUUGUUAACAAUUUUGUACUUUGUAUGCUAUUCCAAAGGAGAAAUUCAAGCCACUACAAGCGACGGUGUCUUGCAUACAAAAGUAAAGAGCUAUGGACAUUGUUUCAUUGUCAAGAUUAAUAGAAACAAUAGGAGCAAAUCAGUCGAAUCCCGGAAUCAGACUUCAUGGUGGACUCUUAGGCUGAAAAUAAUUUAACAAGAAAGUGAUUCAGUCGACUCAUAAAAAGGAAGUGUCAGGUAGACGGAUCUUAAGCGGAAAAGAACCUAAUUUAAGAAAGCCAUUCAGUCUCCCCAAAAGAAGAAGGGUCAGAUCUUGAUUCCCAUGGUACACUAUUAACAAUAUCAGGGAUGGGUUUUAGUUGUUGGAGAAUCCUUUGCCAAUGAGACAACCAAAUAUUUCCUCAGUGCUAAGGUGACUGAUUUUCUUCAUCUCCUCUUACACCAAUCCUGACUUGCAUCAGACUUCGUAAGAUUUUCAAUAGAAGAUUCUUAGGAAAUAACUAAACAUAAGAAAUUGAUUCAGCCUACUCGGAAAAGGGAAGGGUCAGGUAGUUGUUGGAGAGUCUUUUACACAUGAGGCAACCAAAUGUUUCCUGAUCAGUACUAAGGAAACCAUCAUAUUUACAUGAUCCGGAUUAAUGGGGUUUGGAAUAAUGGCUGUGGUGUCACUUUUCGUUGCAUCUGUGAAGAAGAAAUUCAUGCAAGAAGAAUAUAUGGUUAUACCACUUUGUUUAUUUCGCUAUCUAUCUUUAUAUCUUUAUAUGUUUAUGUCUCCAUUUCCAAGCUCUAACAUCUUUAUAGCUUAUAUGUUUAUGUCUCCAUUUCCAGGCUCUAACAUAAUCAAUCUGAUUGGUAAAUGAUUCAGCAAUCAGGUGACAACUCAUAUCUCAAUUCCGUGUCAGGAGCAAAUGUGAGUGUUGAAACACUGUUUGAAUCAUAUUUGCUGCCUAGAUGAUUUGGGUUAUCUUUUUGUUAUCUUAAUGCCGUCUCAAACGUCUAUUGAGUGAGAUUGUUUUCCUAACUUGAUGAACAACCAGUCAGGCUCUGUAAGAUUCUUACCAUGUUUUGUAGUUUCAUUUUCUUGUUUGUAUGUCGUACUAGUCUGUGCCCAUAAUAAUUGCUAACAAAAUGUUUUGGAUACUAGAGAGUGGAUCUACAAAGAACAAAAAUUCAAGAAAGUGAUUCAGUAGCCAAGAGAGGUCAUGUAUUUUUGAGCUGUACAUAACCUAAUUUCCAGAGGCGAUUCCAAGAGCAUAUGAGAGGUCAGGUAAAGUAAUCUUUCCCUCUAAUCUCAUGCAUUCUUCCCUACAGGUUAUCUCCCCCUUCCCAUUUGUGUUUCUUUUUCAAUCUCUUACAUCUAUCAAUCAUUUUGUUGUUCAUAUUGAAGUUAAGUAUGUUGUCUAACAAUUUCGUAAUUUCUUUGCUACUUUGAAAGAGAAAUUCUAGUCACUACAAGCGAAAACGGUGUCUUGCAUACAAAAAGAAAGAGGUAAUCAAUACACUUAUACAGAUAUGUUUUGCUUUGUCAAUGUUUUUGUCCUGUUUUGUGAAGGUGAACUUAAAGGGACUGGAGCAGGCUACGACGAGACAAAAGAUUCUUUUUCGAUUCAUCCCUGAAGUUGAAAACCUCCAACUCGUGAACUUAGCUGUGAUGAUUCAAAAUUAAAGUGAUGAAUCAUAGUUGGUCUAAUGUAAAAUCGAGUAUCGAUAAGUAACAUUCAGACGUCACAUUCAAGUGAAUGAGUCUUUAUUUUUCAUACCUAUUAAUUCUUUUGACAACGACGAUUUUUUUAUUUUUACCAUAACUUUCUUAGCUAUCUUGACAUCACAUUCAAGUGAAUGAAUCUUUACUCUUCA